rnacentral:lncRNA from 1 species
UCCAAUAACAAUUAAUAAAGCGAUUUAAGGAAAGAAAUAUUUGAAUCUUAUACAUUUCCCAAGGACUGGUAGUAAGAAUCAUGAGCUUUUAAGAAUAGAGUUUACAAAGCGAAAAUGAAGUAAAUACAUCGUCUGUUUGAAAUAAACAUUAACAGAGUUUUAUAGAUCUAAGGCUACCAUAAACCAGAGGCAGCUACAACCGGGACGCAGGUACAUCUUCAAAUCCAUCUCCCAUUGAACACAACAACAUCAGUAAUCAGUAUCUGCACGCAAGGUUUAGAAGUGUAGUAUGAGUACAACCGACCCCAUGUACUCAAUAAGUAACAAACCUAACCUUAGGUUGAAAGUAGUGACGAGCUAACACAAAGGUCGGGUCCAGCACCAAUAUUCUACAACAGUUCAUAACAGCAUAGUACAAGUAACAAAAGAGCUAUCUCCGAAAUAAAAUACUCAGUUCGUUCACUGUUCCAUAAAAAUAGGCAGUUCUUUUCAAGUAUCUCAGUGAAAACCCAAAUCUUUUAGUGAAAGCCAAAUACAAGAAAGUUUGAAAACUGUGAUUUUUCCCAAAAUCCUUUCAAUAAUAAGUAAGAUGUUUCAUUUUUCAGAUAGCAUGAGGAAAGUACGUCUUUAUGCCUACAUGUCAAGAUACAGGUAAAAUCAUAAAUGUCCCAAAAUUGGGUAGUAGAAGGAAAUGCAUCUAUAUGCAUGUAUCUCAAGUACGCAUAUCAAAUGCCAUGCAUCUCGAUGAUGAGCUCGUAUACUCACACUCUCAUAGUACUCAAUCUCAUUGUCUGGCAUCCUCUCUCACUAUGCUCAAUGCUCAGCACACUUAAUCACUCAGCGUUGUACAAUACCCAUUGCGGCGUGCACCCCAUCCAUAUAUUUUUAGUUGACUGCGCUCACUAGGGGUGUGUAGACAUCGGAGGGGCUCCUACAGCCCAAGCGCUAUAAUCCGCACGGACAACUCACGUGCCAUAAUAUCAAUAUCUGGAUCCGCACGGAUAACUCACGUGCUAUAGUAUCAAUAUCUGGAUGUAACUCACGUGAUGCAGGGACUACUCACGUACUAUAGUAUCAAUAUCUAGAUCCGCACGGACAACUCACGUGCUAUAGUAUCAAUAUCCUCACAAACAGGCCCCCGGCCUCACUCAGUCAUCAAUCUCUCCAGUCUCACUCACAGGCUCACAAUGUCAUGAAACUAGCCCGACAGCAAUGAAAUAAUACAUCAAUAAACAACAACUGAGACUGAGAUAUUAUAUAAAUGCCUGAAUAUGACUGAGUACUAUAUAUCAAUAAAAUCAGUGAGAUGACAGCAAGAAACGACCACUAUGGGUCCUAACAAUAUCAGCAUAAAGCCUAAACAUGAUAUUUAGCAUAAUUGACAACUCAGUUACUAUAUCAUAUGGUGAUAACACAGAUAUCAACAUAAUAUGGCCACUAUACAGUGCCAUGGAAACAACAGAGUCACAAUUCACAGGGUGCACGCCCACACGCCCGUCACCUAGCAUGUGCGUCACCUCAAUACCAAUCACAUAACACGUAAUUCGGGAUUUCCUACCCUCAGCUCCAAGAUUAGAUGAGUUACUUACCUCGUACAAGCCAAUGUCAAAUGUCGAGCAAGCCAAACAACGCUCCAAAGAUGCCAACCCGCGCGUUCCGACCUCCGAAUGGCCGAAACUAACCAAAAACAAGUCAAGUACAUCAAACAAUGCUAAAAGAACCAAUCUCGAUCGAAAAAAAUCAAACCUUGAAUCAAAACUCCAAAAUCGGCCAAAAGCCCAACCCAGGCCCGCACCUCGGAACCCG